UUAAACAGUUUAUGGUGGUGUUGCAGCUCUCUUGGGGCCUGCACUACGUAUUCGGUGACGAUUUGAAUAUGGAUUGGGAAAUAAAAAGGCCAGUCGCUUGCUACAU